GUCUGUAGCUUUCGACACGCGACGGCAUCUUCUUGGUUAAGAGACUGGUGUGGUGGCGGGAAGUGUCUCCUGCUAUCUCUGUAAUGUUGUAGAGUUUCAGUGUAGUUCAGUGGUUCUGUCGGUACAUUGUCUGGGCUGGG
rnacentral:lncRNA from 1 species